UUCCCUUGGGCAUCCCACACCUCCUUUCUCUUAGGACAUGCAUCCCAAGGAGUCCCACACCAGACACUAUUGGGUGCCUCUUUCUUAUUGAUUUCUAACAUCUAGUAGCAGCACAUAGUAAGAAGAAAAAGCUCUAGAAAAGAAGAGAAGAAGAAGAUCAAGGAAAGAGAUCAAGCGCUGAUUGCGAUCCAAGCUUCGUUCAAAUUCAGCGGGCUAAAUUUUAGAGAAUAAAAAUUUAAAUUAAAGAGGGCUACUCUAAGCUGAUCCUGAGUAGAUACUCAUAGAGAUCGGAUACUUAUGCAGCUAAGAGA
rnacentral:lncRNA from 1 species